AGGAAAACACAUCAGUAAAAGAGGGUAACCAAAAGGUAUUCAAAAGAAAGUGUAACAUUAACACAGUUAAAUACUUCCAAGGUGUUAGUGUAAUCUUUUUCUAGUGAGAGAAGAAGUGAAAACAUUGCCUAAGUACUCCAUCAUCUUUAUUAUCAUCAUGGUUACGACAGGAUGAAAAUUACGGUUACGAUAUCAAUUUUUUUCUUUAAUCCAAUUGUCUGUAAUAUGAUAUGACAAGCCACUGAAAAAAUGAUUUAAGUUUUCAAACUCAUCAUCUUCAUCUUUAUCCCUUCAAUCAAGCUACAUCGUCACCAUCAUCAUCAACUUGUUCAUCAUAAUCAUCAUCAUCAGGAUAAUCUUUUCUCCCCUCAAUCCAUUUAACAGUUGACUUAACAGUUAUAGGAAUCGUUUCUUUCUCCUUUUUCUUGGAAUUCAAAGGUUUUCGGUGAUUUUUUGGAUUCUUCUUGUUCUCCUCAUUUAGGAUUUCGUUAAUAUUGUUUCCGAUUUUCCUCGAAUCCAUUGGAAAUUAACAAAUCACUGAUUCUUUCAAGAAUCUUUUGUUUUUUUCUCUCCUUUUCAAGUUAAUCAUCGGAUUCACAUUGAUUUACUUUUAACUAAUAGAGUAUAUUAUGUAACUGACGUUAUAGAUAAAAGAAAAUUCAAGAUCAAGAUAGACUCAAAGAUGGAGGAAAAGAGGGAAAGGUGGAGCCACAUCUCGAUCAAAGAUGUUUGGAUCCAUAGGAAUCGAAUCCCUGAUUCAUUUAUUUCGAUUAAAAAAAUUUUCGAUUGAUAAUUUUUCUUUCGCAAUUCUUUUUAUUGAUCUAAAUUGUUGUAUUCUAAUUUGAUUACAGAUUAUAGUUUAUUAUAUGUUAAGUAUGAAACUGAUUGACGUUCGAUAAUCAAACUAUGUCAACAUGUUAAACAUCUAGAGAGUUUAAGAGACAACACCUUAAGGUGUCAUCUUGUGUUCAUCUCAUUUGGUCAACUGAUUGUCAAUCUUCAUGACUUUGUUAAUUGAACUGGAUUAAGUCUGAAUUUUUGGAAUCUCUUUUUCUUGUUCCUUCAAUUGGUAUUGACUUUGGAUUGGAUUGCGUAAAAAGAAACAGUAAAAUCGCCUAAAGGUGUUAUUGUGGUGAGAUAUUUAUAUAAAUGGUUUUUAGGUGACACAUUGAUGGAGUCUGAGAAUCAGUGAAAAUUGAGACAACUUGAGAUCUCUUUCUGAUUUUGCUGAUUAAAAAUGGCGACAAAAUAUUUGUCAACCUCUAUUGAUAUUACGUAAUAAUAAUGGAAUAACCAAUGCAACUGAUAAAUAAGCUCGAGGACAAAUACAAUCCACCGGUGGUGAUAAUGUUUAUGGUAAACAAUUAGAGAAACUGUUUUUAUAGGAGAAACGCAACCAAUGGAGUUCUUGACCGGUUUAUGGACAGAAAACCUAUUAACAAAAGAUUGACCCUUCCAUGGACCUUGGAUCAAUCAUCUGAAUAUUUAUGGUAUCAUGUUACUUGAAUUUGUAUUUGAACACAAAACAACUGAUGGAAAAAAAAUCUCAAGAUAAUUGCAAUUCUAGGAUAAGAUGAAGGAAACAACUUAUUGAAAAGAUACGAUAUAUAAUUGAUGGAGACUUCAACUAACAGUAAAAAUGAACAACAGGAAUACAUACAAUCUGAAGGAGGCAAUGGAACUGGAAGAAGACACAAAAGAGGAAAAGAGAUUGUAAAUAAAAGCAGAAACUCAAUACAACUUUUAUCUGGAUAUCUAUCGUUUCUCCGAGUAAUUUACAGAUCCAAUUUCAAAGGAAUUCAUUUUGAUUUCAACUCUCAAGGUGAUGAUAAACUUGAGGAUAACCUGAAAACAAAGAUAAUUGAACAAAUGAUGAGGUCAGUUUGACAAUAAAAGGGAUAACCAAUGAUAAAUAUUACCUUGCAACACCCAUGAGGUAAUCAAGUAAUCAAAGCUUACAACUUUUGGAUUGUUCAAUCAUCAAGGUGACCACUAAUCAUAAGCUUAAACAAAUUGUAUUCCCUAUUAACCCAUUGAAGCUUUUUUGUCAACAAUUAGAUUUGCCAAUGUUUUAUGUAAUUGUCAAUCAUUCAAAUCAUUUAUCACCACGUUAUCAUCAGUUAUAUACAUUAACCAUUCUAAUUAUACAAUUGUGAUGAUUGUUUACAACUGAAUUAAUUUGGGUUAACACUAAACGAAAUUAAUCAUCUUGUAAGCCACAAUCUAAUUUAAUGUGGUCAUUUGUAUUGAUUGUCAUCUCUAUUUUCUGAUUGUAAUUUUAUUUUUUCCUCUUCCCAUUUAACAUACUAAUUAAUGAUAACCUUAAAUCACUUUUAUAAUUAACAUUAUAAAACUAAUCGAUUAACAAUUAACCUGACCAAACGAAAAGCAGAAAAAAAAAGAGAAGCAGUUAUUAUCUUUUUCCUAUCCU